UAGCUUUUGAAAGUAUUUGUUUUGCAGUAUUGAAAAACUCCUCCAUGAGGAGGGCACAGCGUUCUGCCUGGAGUGUGAGGCCGGUGUUGCUUGGCUGCAGCUGCCAUUUGCCACUGAUGAUCAUUCUUCUCUUCCCCUGUGAGAGUAAGAAGGAGAGGAUGCAGUCUGAGUGG
rnacentral:snoRNA from 10 species